GAGUUUGAUCCUGGCUCAGAAUCAACGCUGGCGGCAUGCCUAACACAUGCAAGUCGAACGAGAAAGUCCUUCGGGAUGAGUACAGUGGCGUACGGGUGAGUAACGCGUGGGUUAUCUACCUCUGGGUGGGGAAUAACUCGGGGAAACUCGAGCUAAUACCGCAUAAUACGUUUACGUUAAAGCAGCAAUGCGCCUGGAGAUGAGCCUGCGUCCGAUUAGCUAGUUGGCGGGGUAAUGGCCCACCAAGGCGACGAUCGGUAGCCGGCCUGAGAGGGCGGUCGGCCACACUGGCACUGAAAUACGGGCCAGACUCCUACGGGAGGCAGCAGUGAGGAAUUUUGGGCAAUGGGCGAAAGCCUGGCCCAGCAAUGCCGCGUGAACGAUGAAGUCCUUCGGGAUGUAAAGUUCGUAAGCAGGAGAAGGACACCCUGAUGGUAUCCUGUGUAAGCCCCGGCUAGCUACGUGCCAGCAGCCGCGGUAAUACGUAGGGGGCAAGCGUUGUUCGGAUUUACUGGGCGUAAAGGGCGCGUAGGCGGCGCGUAAAGUCGGACAUGAAAUCAUUGGGCUUAACCCAAUGGCUGUGCCCGAUACUUGCGUGCU
rnacentral:rRNA from 1 species